rnacentral:rRNA from 1 species
AAAGAUCUUCAUACCACCCUGAAUGCACCCAAUCUCAUUCAGUCUCAGAAGCAAAGCAGGGUUGGGUCUGGUUAGUACUUGGCUAGGAGAAAGAUCUUCA